rnacentral:rRNA from 1 species
UACGAAGGGGGCUAGCGUUGCUCGGAAUUACUGGGCGUAAAGCGCACGUAGGCGGUCUGUUAAGUCGGGGGUGAAAUCCUGGGGCUCAACCUCAGAAUUGCCUCCGAUACUGGCAGUCUCGAGUGCGGGAGAGGUGAGUGGAAUUCCCAGUGUAGAGGUGAAAUUCGUAGAUAUUGGGAAGAACACCAGUGGCGAAGGCGGCUCACUGGCCCGUAACUGACGCUGAGGUGCGAAAGCGUGGGGAGCAAACAGG